UUUUCGCAAAAUGAAAAAAAGACGAUACCGGAAGGCUAAACAAAAAUGCUUGAAACGGACGCCCAAGUACGUUUUCCACACGAUAUUUGGAACCUUUAGAAUAGUGUUUCCCAUGAUAGAACAAAUAAUCACGCAGAAACCGCGAAUUUAAAUGUUGAAACAAGAGAACGUCAUACAACUAUUUGGGCUUUUAUUAUUUGUUU